UUGCCGCCCCUACCUGCGCUGCCAAGUAUAAGCCGUGCCAGCUAUUCCCGUUGCUAACCCAGAGAUCUGUAUCGCUGCAUAGCCGAUUCGCCGUGUAAAGGGGGCUUUAUCGUCGUGUGCAAUUGAGCAGCUCCGGCGCCUAGUCGCCGGUGCCACCGGCGGCGCGCAUUUCUUAAGAUAUAGCAAAGCGCGCAACCCGCGUGCUCAAAUCGGCGCUCUGCUAGCUCAAAGUACGUUCGGAAUGAGACGCAGAGCGUUGUUGCGCAGACACGCUUGAAUAAUAUGGGCGUAGAACACGAAAGGUCCCGGAGGAGCGCGCAAUAUCAGCGCCGCUCAAGGCAACCCACAACGAGUGCCAAGUUCUGGCAAUAACCUGCUCCAGUUUUGCCGGCUGUUCGCGCAAGACUGGAUCCCUCAAACUUGGUUGCCAUCACCAGCAGACACAGGCAGGCAGUGGAUGAGACAAUUUGCAAACUCCAAACAAUGGCA
rnacentral:lncRNA from 1 species